rnacentral:rRNA from 1 species
GCCUGAGAGAUGGCUCCCACGUCCAAGGAUGGCAGCAGGCGCGAAAAUUGUCCACUCUUUUGAGAGGAGACAGUUAUGAAACGUGAGUAGAAGGGUCGAGUGUAAAAACCUUGACGUGAAGCAAUUGGAGGGCAAGUUUUGGUGCCAGCAGCCGCGGUAAUUCCAACUCCAAGAGUGUCUAUGGUGGAUGCUGCAGUUAAAGGGUCCGUAGUCGUAGAUGCAAUUAAAAGGUGGUGUUAAAAGCCAUUGAGUUUGUUGAGAGUAGCGGAACGGAUAGGGAGCAUGGUAUAGGUGGGCAAAGAAUGAAAUCUCAAGACCCCACCUGGACCAACGGAGGCGAAAGCGAUGCUCUUAGACGUAUCUGGGGAUCAAGGACGAAGGCUAGAGUAUCGAAAGUGAUUAGACACCGCUGUAGUUCUAGCAGUAAACUAUGCCGACAAUGCUGGGUGUGCGAGAGC